rnacentral:rRNA from 1 species
AUUGAACGCUGGCGGCAUGCUUUACACAUGCAAGUCGAACGGUAACAGGCCGCAAGGUGCUGACGAGUGGCGAACGGGUGAGUAAUGCAUCGGAACGUGCCCAGUCGUGGGGGAUAACUACUCGAAAGAGUAGCUAAUACCGCAUACGAUCUAUGGAUGAAGCGGGGGACCGUAAGGCCUCGCGCGAUUGGAGCGGCCGAUGUCAGAUUAGGUAGUUGGUGGGGUAAAGGCUCACCAAGCCAACGAUCUGUAGCUGGUCUGAGAGGACGACCAGCCACACUGGGACUGAGACACGGCCCAGACUCCUACGGGAGGCAGCAGUGGGGAAUUUUGGACAAUGGGCGCAAGCCUGAUCCAGCAAUGCCGCGUGCAGGAAGAAGGCCUUCGGGUUGUAAACUGCUUUUGUACGGAACGAAACGGCUCUGGUUAAUACCCGGGGCUAAUGACGGUACCGUAAGAAUAAGCACCGGCUAACUACGUG